UAUAUAAUUUUAGAGGAAUCUAUAUGACGAAAUCCUAGAAUUUUUUUUCCCCCUAGAGUUUUAUACAUUAUCAUCUUUUGUGGGGAACCCUUAAAUAAAAAAAUAAAAAUAAUUAAUUAAUUAAAAAAAGAAAAAAAAACUUUUGUGGGAACCCUAGAUGCCGCUACACGCCUCCACAUCAUACUAUAUAAUGUUCUGUUGAGGUUGGGAGUAUGAUGACAAACAAUAGAAGAGGCAAGGGAGAUGGAUCACCGGAAGGUAUGGGAAUGGGAAGGUAGGCAAGAAGGAGAGAAUGAUUUCCUUUGUUUUCCUUAGGGGAAGACUGGAGGAAGCCUUGGAAUUUUCUUGCCCAACCCUCCCAUUCCAAUGAUUUCCGGGUUUUCUUCCCUUUUCCAUUCUUUCAAGCCCUUAGAUCUUCAACAUCAAGAAGAAGAAGAAGAAGAAAUCAUGUUAGAAGGAAAGAAGGGAAAGGGAGAUGGAAUUUCUGGAAUUUGCUGGGAUGGGAGUCUGGGAAAGUGAGAGUGAGAAAAGGGAAUUCUCUCUCUUACCCUGAAAGUGACUAUUUAUCUUCCCCAGACCCCCCAUACCAACGAUUUCCAGUUUUUCCUGCCUUUCCCUGUUUUUCUACAUCUUUAAUUGCUUUUCAAAUGGGUAUCUGUUAUAAAUCUGCAGCAAAACUCAGAAGGAGAAGAAGCACUGAUGAGCAAAGUCAGCUUAACAGAGUCCCUCAAUGAGGGUUUAGUGGUGAACUGGUGAAGAGACUCAUACUGGUCUGGAUCAGCAAGAACUGUGAUUUUAUUUCUCUGUUUGUUUAAAAAAGGUUUUUUUUUGGUAGGUUCUACCCCAAAGAAAUUAAUAACCAGUUACAGAAAAGUAGAUAGAUUUCCAUUUAAGAUAUUAGAAUCUGUAUCGUCCAAUGAAGUUAAAAAUUUCAGUUUGCCUUGUA